GUUCUUUUGUUUUUAAUAUAAGAUCGGGCCUGCCCAUUGAUUAUAAAUAUUAAAAGGCUGCGGUAUUUUAACUGUACGAAGGUAGCAUAAUCACUUGUCUUUUAAUUGGAGGCUAGAAUGAAUGGUUUGAUGAGAAAUAAUCUUUCUUUAAAUAAUUAAUUUGAAUUUAAUUUUUUAGUUAAAAAGCUAAAAUUCUUUUAUAGGACGAGAAGACCCUAUAGAGGUUUACUAAUUUUAUAAAUUAUAUUUUUUUGUUUAUUAAUUUAUUUUUUAGAAAAAUUAGUUUUGUUGGGGUGACAAUGAAAUUUUAUUAACUUUUAUUAUUUUUUUUAUUAAUUUAUAUUUUUUUGAUCCGAAAUUUUCGAUUAUAAGAUUAACCUACCUUAGGGAUAACAGCGUAAUCUUUUUGGAGAGUUCAUAUCGAUGAAAAGGUUUGCGA
rnacentral:rRNA from 1 species